rnacentral:rRNA from 1 species
UAAGCGUACCGGAAGGUGCGCUUGGCAUAAUCAAAGUGUAGCUAAAAAAGCGCCUCGCUUACUCCGAGCUAAUGUCUUCUAUUACAGACCUCUUUGAGCCCCAUACCUAGCCAACUAAUAGUAUAAACAAAAACCAUAAAACUUUUUAAAUAAAACAUUUAAAAGGUCUAGUAGACGUGAUCAAAAAACCUCUUUAGAGCUUUAAAAGAAGUACCGCAAGGGAACCCUGAAAUAUUCUUGAAACAAUCAAAAGCACAUAAAAGUAGAGCUAAAUCCUCGUACCUUUUGCAUCAUGGUCUAGUUAGUCUAACCAAGCAAAAUGAACUUACAGUUUGACCCCCCGAAACUAAGUGAGCUACUUCAAAACAGCCUACUGGGCCAACCCGUCUCUGUUGCAAAAGAGUGGGAUGAUUUUCAAGUAGAGGUGAUAAGCCUACCGAACUUAGAGAUAGCUGGUUAUUUAAGAAACGGAUCUAAGUCCAACCAAGAGCUAUCUACACACCACCAAGUCUUUAAAACAAGCUCUCGAGUCACUCAAAUAGGGUACAGCCUAUUUGAAACAGGAUACAACCUCAAACAUUGGGUAAUAUGCUAAUAAAACUACUAAGUGGGCCUAAAAGCAGCCACCUUCAAAAAAGCGUUAAAGCCUAAUUUUAUUAUUUUGUAAUACCAAAAUUUAACUAAAACCCUUUAUCUAUAUUAAAUGACUCCAUAAUUUUAUGGAAAUCAUAAUGCUAGAACUAGUAAUAAGAAGUAGCCCUUCUCCACAAUGUGAGUAUAAACCAGAACGAACACACACUGGAACCUAACGUUCUUGAACUUACCGCAAUAACCUACUAAGAAAAAACUGCUUAACAAACCGUUAACCUUACACUAGCACAUUUCUGGAAAGAUUAAAAGAGUAGGAAGGAACUCGGCAAACCAUAACCCCGCCUGUUUACCAAAAACAUCGCCUCCCGCCCAAUGAUGGGAGGUCCAGCCUGCCCAAUGAUACAUUGAAUGGCCGCGGUACUCUUACCGUGCGAAGGUAGCAUAAUCACUUGUUCAUUAAAUAUGGACUAGUAUGAACGGCAUCACGAGGGUCAUACUGUCUCCCUACUCCAAUCAAUGAAACUAUUUUUCCCGUGAAGAAACGGGAAUUAAACUAUAAGACGAGAAGACCCCAUGGAGCUUUAAACCCAGAACAUCUACCAACCCCCCCCCCAUUUUUACCUAACUAUAGUAUUCAUGUUUUCUGGUUUUUGGUUGGGGCGACCACGGAGCAAAAAAAAUCCUCCACGAUGAACAAGCUUUACUUUUACCCAUGAAGCACACUUCUAAGGACCCUUAAUAUGACAUUUCUUGACCCAAGCCUACUUGAUCAACGAACCUAGUUACCCUGGGGAUAACAGCGCAAUCCAUUUCAAGAGCCCAUAUCAACAAAUGGGUUUACGACCUCGAUGUUGGAUCAGGGUAUCCCAGUGGUGCACCCGCUACUAAAGGUUUGUUUGUUCAACAAUUAAUAACCCU